rnacentral:rRNA from 1 species
UGAAAUUUUUAAAUGGCCGCAGUAUACUAACUGUGCAAAGGUAGCAUAAUCAUUAGUCUUUUAAUUGAAGGCUGGUAUGAAUGGUUGGACGAGAUAUUAACUGUUUCAUAAAAAUUUAUAAUAGAAUUUUAUUUUUUAGUCAAAAAGCUAAAAUAUAUUUAAAAGACGAGAAGACCCUAUAAAUCUUUAUAUCUAGAUUAUUAUAAUUUUAUAGAUUUUUUUUGUUAUAAUAAUUAAUGAUAUUUUAUUGGGGUGAUAUUAAAAUUUAAUAAACUUUUAAUUGUUAAAAUCAUUAAUUUAUGAAUAAUUGAUCCGUUAUUAGCGAUUAAAAAAAUAAGUUACUUUAGGGAUAACAGCGUAAUUUUUUUGGAGAGUUCAUAUCGAUAAAAAAGAUUGCGACCUCGAUGUUGGAUUAAGAUAUAAUUUUAGGUGUAGCCGCUUAAAUUUUAAGUCUGUUCGACUUUUAAAUUCUUACAUGAUCUGAGUUCAAACCGGCGUAAGCCAGGUUGGUUUCUAUCUUUAAAAA